rnacentral:rRNA from 1 species
UACGGGGGGAGCAAGCGUUGUUCGGAUUUACUGGGCGUAAAGGGCGCGUAGGCGGCCACGACAAGUCACUUGUGAAAUCUCCGGGCUUAACUCGGAACGGUCAAGUGAUACUGUCGGGCUAGAGUGCAGAAGGGGCAACUGGAAUUCUCGGUGUAGCGGUGAAAUGCGUAGAUAUCUGGAGGAACACCGGUGGCGAAGGCGGCAUCCUGGACCGGUAUUGACGCUGAGGCGCGAAAGCCAGGGGAGCAAACGGG